rnacentral:lncRNA from 1 species
CGACCCGGGUGCUUUCGCAGAAGGAGGAGGACAUACAGAUGAUGCUUUCCGCCGCCGUCCAUCUCGGCGCCAGGAACUGCGACUUCCAGAUGGAGCGCUACGUCUACAAGCGGAGAUCCGAUGGUGCCCACCCCCCCAACCCCUUCCUUUUAACUUCUUUGUUUCUCCUGCUGCCUGAUCCGUGCUUGCUUCCGUACCAUCAUGCUGUCGAGUCCGGCUCAAAUUUUCUGCUUUUUGGUCGUGAGGAGAGCUACGAGUAGUAGAUCUCCACGAGGGCUUGUUGUUUUGUUUGCGAUCUCGAUAUGGCAUGUUAGUGGCAACGAACUCCAGGGAAGAAAUCGUUUUUUGUUCAUAGGAG